rnacentral:misc_RNA from 1 species
AAGUCGUAACAAGGUCUCCGUAGGUGAACCUGCGGAGGGAUCAUUAACACGUUUUAAAACACGUUUUAACACAACACCAACCAACCACGUGAACUAUUUAACAAUCCUGGAAAAGAGAGAAUUCUGUCUAUUUGCACACUAAUGAUGAGCUCUCGCAAGAGAGCGGUGUGUGUAGACUAACAUUGCAGGCAACUGACUUUGUAAAGACCUUUCUUUUCUGGGCUAAAUGCCUCUCUCAUCACUGGGGCGAAAACACCACUUUCACUACUUCUAUAACCAUUGACUGUAUCUUUUUUUAAUUUUCUACGUAAGUAGAGUGAUUGAAAAAAACCAUAAUCAAAUAUCUAAGCACAACUCUUAGCAACGGAUAUCUUGGUUCUC